ACCCGUAAUUGAGAAUGUUAGAGAAAAGGGUUCAUGUAUAACGGAGAUAUCUCUAUGAACCCCCAUGGAUACCAACAGGCUGAUAAAAAGAGUGACAGUUGUUGUUUGAUUUAUUAAAUAUGGAUAUGGAUUUAUAAUAUGUGCUAUGUUACCGAUUAUAUAUGAAAUUAUAAUUUAUAUAAUAUUAUUGUUUCUAUGGGUUGUUUUUAUAAAUCUC
rnacentral:lncRNA from 1 species